rnacentral:rRNA from 1 species
UACAGAGGGUGCGAGCGUUAAUCGGAAUUACUGGGCGCAAAGCGCGCGUAGGCGGCUUUGCAAGUCGGGUGUGAAAUCCCCAGGCUUAACCUGGGAACUGCAUUCGAGACUGCAUUGCUAGAGUAUGGGAGAGGGAAGUGGAAUUUCCGGUGUAGCGGUGAAAUGCGUAGAUAUCGGAAGGAACAUCAGUGGCGAAAGCGACUUCCUGGACCAAUACUGACGCUCAUGUGCGAAAGCGUGGGGAGCAAACAGG